ensembl:lncRNA
AUGAAGAAGUGCAUCCCUGGACAUCAAUUCGCCCCCUGGUGUAAACUGUGGUUGAGCAUCGGAUGUGGUUUGCCAGACAUGUCCUUCAACAGCUGUCAACAAGGCUCCUACGAACAGCCAUACUUUGGAACUCACAACAAGGGAAAGGGAAGCAAGGACACCCCAAGAUCAUGUGGCGAUAUACAUUUAUUAAGGACCUCAAAGCCGCCAACCUCUCCUGAGAUGAAGCCGGAACCGCAGCAGCUGAUUGAAUAUGAUGGAGGUCGCUUGUCGCUGAAUGCACAGAACAGCACGGGAGCAUCUAAGAUGUGCACAAGCUCCAGUCUGGAUCCAGAACACCUGAGAAGAGAUGAUGCCAACCCCUCAGAGGACUCCAGAUGAUGCUAGCCCAGAGACAACAUACAGAACUACCACAUUUUGCUAUAAGUUUGAUUGCAUAAUUGCUGUUAAUAGUGUUAAUCGUCUGUUUGUUUACGUCUUUUAUUGAUUUUUCUGAACAUUUCUGUCAUAUGCACAUAAACUGACAGUUACCACUGAUAAGCUACUCCUAAAUAUUGUAGAAACUUGAUUUUCUGUAACGUUGCUUUGCAAUGAUUUGUCUCGUAAAAAGCGCUAUACAAAUAAACUUGAAUUGAAUUGAAUUUAAUUGAAUCAAGGCACGUCCAAAUCUAAAGUUAGCUUCACUUCUUUUCUCAUGAAAUACAUUCAUCUGAUCAAUUUUUGAAGGCAGCAUAGAUAUAAAUUUCACUGCAUUUGUUAUCCCACAAUCCUGUGCAUUCCAUUCCAUGAUGGUUGAGCUAAAAAAUAAAGAUGGCGUCUGAAAGUUAUGUUUGGUGUCAUUUUGUGUGUAAAUGUAUAUUUCUGACUAACUUUUUGCACUUUUGAUGAUAGUUCUAGAUAGAAAUCACUCAGGAUGGCUCACUCAGGAUGGGAUCUAUGCUAAUAGAGCAGUGUCCUUCAACAGUCAUGGGUGGGGCCUGUACAAUGUGACGUCACAUUGUGGAGAUUAUGUGAAUGGCUUGUUCUGAGACACACACACAGACACAAAGGCUUGUUCUGAGACAUUGCUUAUGAUUCAUGGGGAUUAUAUAAAAAAAGGAGUGGGCGGAUUUUUAUCAUUAUAGGGUGGUUGUGUACACACACUGCCAACACACAUUCAUGUUAAAACACCAUGUAGAGUGAAUUUUGCAUAAUGGGUCCCCUUUAACUUUAUUAACCUUGAAUGAAAGCAGUUGUUUUGUAUGAUUACAAUUAUUUGGUAGUCUCUUUACUCUAGUCUGGUGCCUGCCAUCUAAAUCCACACUCAUGUUAUUUAAAUGGGUCAUAUGAUGCUGCUAAAAAGAACAUUAUUUUGUGUAUUUGGUUUAAUGAAAUGUUACAGUUUAAUGAAACAGUUUAAGGUUAAAAAAAAAAACCCAUUAUUUUCCACAUACUGUACAUUAUUGUUUCUCCUCUAUGCCCCUUGAAUAUAGCAAUCACCUCAAUAAAUUUACUCAUAGAUGCUCAAAUGUGCCCAUAGGUCUUCGACAUGUUCUUUGUACUGUCUUAUACAGCCAAGACAAAGCCCUUAUUAAGAGCGAGCUGUGAGACAGGACCACACAGAGUUUAGUGUCUGCUCAGUGCCUGCUGAGGGUCACUGGCGUCAGAUCGACCCAGAAUGGCAAACCAUCCUUUAUUAUCAGUGGCGCUAUGACAAGCUGCCAUCUCUUGGCUUACAGAAAGGAAACGCUUGACUGACUGAAAUACACUUCAGCACAUUAUAGUGAGAGGAACGUGUACGUGAAGACAAUAGGGCACUUGAGUUUGAGUUCUCUAGCAUGCCAUGUCUCUAUCUCUGUCUGACAAUAGGGGUGGAGGACAAUGGUGUGUUGUAUGAGGUUCUGGUGCUGAAGACAAUGUGACUGAUGAAGAGGAUGAUCCUGACUGCUGAAUGAAAGGAGAGCCAGUUAGAAUGGUGUUGAUGUAGAGCCUGUGUGGUCUGAUGAUUAAGAGACAAGAGAAAAAGUACUGUUAGAGAUGAGCGGGAUACUCUACAAACCAAAUAUGUUAGUAAUUAUAAAUCCUGCUUGAUAUGGUGCUUUAUACAUGAAUGAUUACUUAAUCAUGUGUGUUGUUGAGGAGAAUGUGCUGGUAAUUUGCAAAGUGAUCAAACCAUUUUUUACCUGCUGGACCAGAAAACAGGUGAAAAUAUCCCACAGACGCACACUGAAAGAGGAACACAAACCACAGAUCAGAUGCGAGGGAGAACUCUUUUCAUAUGCAAGGGAAAGAGAGAGAGAGAGAGAGAGAGAGAGAGAGACACUCAGGACACCCUAGAAAACCACCCAAAAACACCUCAGAAAGCACAUACUAAAAAACCAGUAGAAACCACCCAGAACACCCUAGCAAUUGCACUGUAAUGCUCACACAAACACUCAGAAAACCCUAGAAAUCCCCUUGCAACUGCAUAGCAACACCUUGGAAACCACCUAGCAAUGCAUAGUAAUGCUUAGGCAACCACUCAGAAAAUCUGCAACAUCCUAACAUCAUGGGAAUGAGUUUUAUCUAGAUAUAGCCAUAUUUGAGACCAGAGUAUCACAAAUAUUAUAGUUUGAUUUUGCUUGGCAGCAGUGGAAAGAACAAUAAAACCAAGCAGAAGUCUCUGAUAAAUCAUUUCACUAGCAUACAGUAUGUAUGUCUAUUGUCUGCUUACUAACGUCUACCUUUCAGCAAACCAGGACAAUCGAGUGAACGUCAUGCCACAUUAUAUGAAUAUUCAUGCAUAUUCAAUAUUUCAAGAUUAGGUUUAACUUUCAAAGAUGAACUAAAAUUGUAAAUGUAAAUAACAACAGAGGGAAAAUAAGGCGAAG